UACGAAGGGUGCAAACGUUGCUCGGAAUUAUUGGGCGUAAAGCGCACGUAGGCGGCUUGGCAAGUUGGAUGUGAAAUCCCUCGGCUUAACCAAGGAAGUGCAUCCAAAACUGCUGAGCUUGAGUACUUAAGAGGAUCGCGGAAUUCCCGGUGUAGAGGUGAAAUUCGUAGAUAUUAGGAAGAACACCAGUGGCGAAGGCGGCUCACUGGCCCGGUACUGACGCUCAUGUGCGAAAGCGUGGGGAGCAAACAGG
rnacentral:rRNA from 1 species